CCUACGGGUGGCUGCAGUGGGGAAUAUUGGGCACUGGGCGCAAGCCUGACCCAGCAACGCCGCGUGAAGGAAGAAGGCACUCGGGUUGUAAACUUCUUUUAUCAAUGACGACCCAAAUGACGGUACUUGAUGAAUAAGCCACGGCUAACUACGUGCCAGCAGCCGCGGUAAUACGUAGGUGGCAAGCGUUAUCCGGAUUUACUGGGUGUAAAGGGCGUGUAGGUGGGACUGUAAGUCAGAUGUGAAAAUUAUGGGCUCAACCCAAAGCUUGCAUUUGAUACUGUAGGUCUUGAGUACUGUUGAGGCAGGCGGAAUUCGUGGUGUAGCGGUGAAAUGCUUAGAUAUAACGAAGAACUCCGAUUGCGAAGGCAGCUUACUAAACAGCCACUGACAUUGAGGCUCGAAAGUGUGGGUAUCAAACAGGAUUAGAUACCCGGGUAGUC
rnacentral:rRNA from 1 species